rnacentral:rRNA from 1 species
AACUUCGUGCCAGCAGCCGCGGUAAUACGAAGGGACCUAGCGUAAUUCGGAAUUACUGGGCGUAAAGCGCGCGUAGGCGGUUAAGUAAGUUAAUUGUGAAAGCCCAAAGCUCAACUUUGGAAUUGCAAUUAAAACUACUUAGCUAGAGUUUAUCAGAGGAAAGCGGAAUACAUAGUGUAGAGGUGAAAUUCGUAGAUAUUAUGUAGAACACCAGUUGCGAAGGCGGCUUUCUGGGAUAACACUGACGCUGAGGUGCGAAAGUAUGGGUAGCGAAGAGGAUUAGAUACCCUCGUAGUCCAUACCGUAAACGAUGAUUGUUAGAUGUUGGAAAUUUAUUUUCAGUAUCACAGCUAACGCGUUAAACAAUCCGCCUGGGGAGUACGACCGCAAGGUUAAAACUCAAAUGAAUUGACGGGGACCCGCACAAGCGGUGGAGCAUGUGGUUUAAUUCGAAGCUACGCGCAGAACCUUACCAACACUUGACAUGUCUGUCGCGGAUUCCAGAGAUGGAUUCCUUCGGUUCGGCCGGACAGAACACAGGUGCUGCAUGGCUGUCGUCAGCUCGUGUCGUGAGAUGUUGGGUUAAGUCCCGCAACGAGCGCAACCCCUACUUCUAGUUGCCAUCAGGUUAAGCUGGGCACUCUAGUAGGACUGCCUGUGAUAAGCAGGAGGAAGGUUGGGAUGACGUCAAGUCCUCAUGGCCCUUACGUGUUGGGCUACACACGUGCUACAAUGGCAGUGACAAUGAGAUGCUAAACAGCGAUGUUAAGCUAAACUCAAAAACCUGCCUCAGUUCGGAUUGCACUCUGCAACUCGAGUGCAUGAAGCUGGAAUCGCUAGUAAUCGCUCAUCAGCGCGGAGCGGUGAAUACGUUCCCGGGUCUUGUACACACCGCCCGUCACACCAUGGAAGUUGGUUUUACCUUAAGGCAUGUCACUAACCCUCGGGAAGUGCGUGACCACGGUAUGAUCGGCGACUGGGGUGAAGUCGUAACAAGGUAGCCGUAGGGGAACCUGC